UACGAAGGGGGCUAGCGUUGUUCGGAAUUACUGGGCGUAAAGGGCGCGUAGGCGGUGUGUCAAGUCAGGCGUGAAAGCCCCGGGCUCAACCUGGGAACCGCGCUUGAGACUGGCACGCUAGAGUUCGGGAGAGGAUGGUGGAAUUCCCAGUGUAGAGGUGAAAUUCGUAGAUAUUGGGAAGAACACCGAUGGCGAAGGCAGCCCAUCUGG
rnacentral:rRNA from 1 species